AGAAGCAGCGGGUCACUAGCGCGGCUCCCGCACCUCCGUCGGCCAACAACAUCAAGGGGAUCCUGCUCGCGCUCUCAUCCAGCCUCUUCAUCGGCGUCAGCUUCCUCACCAAGAAGAAGGCAGCCUCCUCCUCCUCCGGCGUCAGCGUCGGUUUCAGGGCAGACUGUGGUUGCUCGGUCGCCUAGGCCAUUGUUUGGCCAGUCUAUUGACCCGAGAUCUCCAUGGCAACAAACACUCCGCUUCCUGCUACCUCCAUGGUGUCCAACACUCCGCCCAAUGAGGUGUACGGGGACGAAUCCGGCUUCUUUGUGAUGGGGAUCCAGUCCCGCAACCCAAAAGAAUCCGAAGUCUUUGAGAGAUCAGAGGAUGAACAGAUCUGAACCACACGACAUGGCGGGUGUAGGUCUGGAGCCUGAUGCAUACCAUGUGGAAGAGCUGACGCCGAAAAAGCUAAUCACGGAGAAGGCGGGGCAAUGGUCCGGCAGCUGGAAACACACAUGUAUUGAUUCUUUCACGAACCUGAGUUUUCUUUCCAUGGGAUUGGAUCCAAGUCGCUGGCCGCCUGAAACAGUGUAUGAUUCGUCUGUGCGGCAUGCUUUUUUUAUCUCAUUGGUUGGAUAAAGAGUGCUCCCACAUACAGCUAUCCUUGCUGGAUCUCUGUUGCCUUGAUAUUUAUCUUUGCAUAGAUGUUUAAUUUUCGUUUGACCGGCUCCAGGAAUUUAUGUUUCGUCCUGAGAUUUGCAGAACAUGGAAAGCUAAAUUCGAGACUGAAUGUUGCUGAUACGAGACGAUAAUUAACUGAAUUUCGUCGUCAACAUUCAGGAACAGGAUGACUAAGGGUCCAAAUGCUAGACUUGUACCUAGCAAAGUCAGCGCUCAGGAAAAAUGCAUACUUGACGCUGGUAAUAAGAG